UCAUAAUACAACUCUAGACAAAUUGACCAAAACUAAUAAUACAGUACACUUAAAUACUAAAUUAAACACUAACCAGUUUGAAUGUGCUUCUAAGGUUUUUCCAAGUCGAAAUUAUUCAGAUUUUGCUGAAAACUGUUGAAAAUUUAAACAAUUAAAAAUCAAAUUAUCUAAAAAUCAUAAUAGAUGAAAAGGAAGGAAAACUUAAAGAAUUGGAGAACCUAUUCAUCAGAGAUUCGAAGGCAAAAUCAACAACACGAACCUAAUCACGAACAACAAACAAUUCUUCUUAACUCCCCCAAUCCUUUCAAUGAGAAAGAAGAAGUAAAACAACAAAAAAAGAUUAAAAAUUUCAAAGAAAACCUUAUUGAGUCAAGAAGAAGAACUGAAGAAGAAUAAGAAGUUGUAUUGUAAUUAAAGUUUAAGAGAAUACCGAAGGACGAAGGUGUUGCUGUUGCGAGCGAUGGAACAAGAAGAAAAAUC
rnacentral:lncRNA from 1 species